rnacentral:rRNA from 1 species
UACGUAGGGUGCGAGCGUUAAUCGGAAUUACUGGGCGUAAAGCGUGCGCAGGCGGUCCGCAAAGUCUGAUGUGAAAGCCCCGGGCUCAACCUGGGAACUGCAUUGGAAACUAACGGGCUCGAGUGUGGCAGAGGGGGGUGGAAUUCCACGUGUAGCAGUGAAAUGCGUAGAGAUGUGGAGGAACACCGAUGGCGAAGGCAGGUCUCUGGACAGUUCCUGACGCUGAGGCGCGAAGGCCAGGGGAGCAAACGGG